AUACGGAGGAUGCAAGCGUUAUCCGGAUUUAUUGGGUUUAAAGGGCGCGUAGGCGGUUUGCUAAGCGGGAGGUGAAAUGCCGGCGCUCAACGUCGGAAGUGCCUCCCGAACUGGUGGACUUGAAUGACUCUGCCGUGGGAGGAAUGUGUAGUGUAGCGGUGAAAUGCUUAGAGAUUACACAGAACACCGAUUGCGAAGGCAUCUCACGAAGGGUUGAUUGACGCUGAGGCACGAAAGCGUGGGGAUCAAACAGGAUUAGAUACCCUGGUAGUCCACGCAGUAAACGAUGAUGGCUAACCGCUGGGCUUAUCAGUUCAGUGGCCAAGCGAAAGCGAUAAGCCAUCCACCUGGGGAGUACGACCGCAAGGUUGAAACUCAAAUGAAUUGACGGGG
rnacentral:rRNA from 1 species